rnacentral:rRNA from 1 species
UUGAACGCUGGCGGCAGGCCUAACCCAUGCAAGUCGAACGGUAACAGGAAGAAGCUUGCUUCUUUGCUGACGAGUGGCGGACGGGUGAGUAAUGUCUGGGAAACUGCCUGAUGGAGGGGGAUAACUACUGGAAACGGUAGCUAAUACCGCAUAACGUCGCAAGACCAAAGAGGGGGACCUUCGGGCCUCUUGCCAUCGGAUGUGCCCAGAUGGGAUUAGCUAGUAGGUGGGGUAACGGCUCACCUAGGCGACGAUCCCUAGCUGGUCUGAGAGGAUGACCAGCCACACUGGAACUGAGACACGGUCCAGACUCCUACGGGAGGCAGCAGUGGGGAAUAUUGCACAAUGGGCGCAAGCCUGAUGCAGCCAUGCCGCGUGUAUGAAGAAGGCCUUCGGGUUGUAAAGUACUUUCAGCGGGGAGGAAGGGAGUAAAGUUAAUACCUUUGCUCAUUGACGUUACCCGCAGAAGAAGCACCGGCUAACUCCGUG